GGUUGAAGCAGAGGGUGAGGAUAAACAGGAAGGGAGGAGGGCUGUUCAAUUUUAGCGGCAAUUCAGCGUGUACUACUCAGGCAGCUAGCUCAGGGAAACACAGGCUGGAGGAGUAAAGACACAGGGGUGGUCUGAUAUGCCGGAGCUGCAGCUGAACUCUGAGUAGCACUGUCUCCGGGAAAAAACAAAGUGAUCAAUGUGAGAAGGCACGGGGCGCUCAUGGACAGGCCAAUCAAUGGUGGAAAGAACCUUGCCCAGGGCCUUAUGCAAAUGGAAGCACGUCCCUUAACCUCGGGAGUGAACAUGCGCACUAGAUCAAUGGGACGAGGGUAGAACCUUACAGCAAG